GUGAUAUGCGGUGUAACGGUAACACACCUGACUGUCUAUCAGGAGAAGGGGUUCGAAUCCCACAUGUCACG
rnacentral:tRNA from 2 species